rnacentral:tRNA from 1 species
ACGUUAGUAGUAUAUUGUAUAGAGUACAUUGUCUUUCCAAGUCAGGGGUCCUAUGUGUUAGGUUAACGUA